AGGCUUCCUUACGAACGCCAUCGCGUGGACUGCUUAACAAAGAAAGUAAAGCACUUAAAGCACCACAAUUAAUGAUGACCUGGGUCUGAACGUCAUCUCCUGUAACAAUAUUUCCUACGGAUCGGAGAGCAGGAGUCUGUACUUGAGCGCUAGGAUGCAUUAAAAGUUCAACAAGCCUACGAGGAAUCCCUGCAUCAAUGAUGGCUUGGAUCUUCUCAUUAGCGCCAUCAGAUAAAUAGGAAAUGGCCCAAAGGGCAUCAACUAAAACAUCUUCGUCUAAGGUAUAAAUUAAUUUCGACAGAACAGGGAUAACUUGCGAAAUGCUGUUCCAAUCGGGUUGUGGAUUUUUGCCUCGGCACAUAUUAGACAGGGUCCAAGUACUAUUGCGGAGCAUACUAAGACGCCUGUUAGAUUCGAUUAUGUUAAGCAAAGGCUCCAAAACUCCACAUUGCAAAACAUGAUCACGACACAUGGGUGAAUCACCAGCAAUGUUACCUAAUGCCCAAACUGCUUGCUCGCGUACAUCUUGUUCAGAAGAAGAUAAAAGGCUUACAA